rnacentral:rRNA from 1 species
GGAAUCUUCCACAAUGGACGAAAGUCUGAUGGAGCAACGCCGCGUGAGUGAAGAAGGGUUUCGGCUCGUAAAACUCUGUUGUUAAAGAAGAACAUAUCUGAGAGUAACUGUUCAGGUAUUGACGGUAUUUAACCAGAAAGCCACGGCUAACUACGUGCCUAG